GGUCGGGUCCUGCGCAAGGAUGCACCGUGAACCGGGUCAGGGCCUGACGGCAGCAGCUCUCAGCGGAUCGCAACCUGUGCCGCAGAUAGCCUGACCGCU
rnacentral:SRP_RNA from 1 species